rnacentral:rRNA from 1 species
UACGUAGGGGGCAAGCGUUGUCCGGAAUCAUUGGGCGUAAAGAGCGUGUAGGCGGUUCGGUAAGUCGGCUGUGAAAGUCCAGGGCUCAACCCUGGGAUGCCGGUCGAUACUGCCGGACUAGAGUUCGGAAGAGGCGAGUGGAAUUCCCGGUGUAGCGGUGAAAUGCGCAGGUAUCGGGAGGAACACCUAUGGCGAAGGCAGCUCGCUGGGACGUUACUGACGCUGAGACGCGAAAGCGUGGGGAGCAAACAGG